UUUUCACCCUACUUUUUACUGUAUUUUAGGCUAGAAGGCUUAGGAAAGCCUUAGGUGGAUGCAUGAGGCAACUUGGAGUACUUUGUGCAGCUGCUUAUGUUGCUUUGAGUGAGAAUGUUAGCAAGCUUGAGGAGGAUCAUAGAGAAGCCAAAAUAAUAGCAGAUACUUCAGUUUUAUCACCUAAAAGGCUCUGUCAAGUCUUGGAAGAGCAUGGCGUGCUUGUGCUUCCUUCAAGCUCAACUAGGAACUCCUUUGCAUCAUGCUG